GGGGUGGCUGACGGCGGGGCCCACGCGCGCGAACGUACUCUACGUGCCUCCCGGAGCGGGACGCGCAGGCCGUGGCUAGUAGCGCCGGCACGUCGAGCCCCACCACCGCACCAUAUCACCCCACCCCACGGUGGAUACGUAAAAUCCGGGGGAGUACGUCUUCCGAUGCAGGCGAGCCAGCCGCGGUCGCCUUCCCGCCGAGACCGGCCCGGCCCGGGGGCAGCCCCGUCAUUUCGGCCUCCCCUCCCCAUGCUGUACCGCCGCUGCCGCAGAUCUAGGCGCCCUAUUUAAUUUCGUCUAAGCCGCUCAGUGUCACUGUGGAGGGUUGGGAGGGAAAGGAAAGGGAAGCCGAACCAAUUCGUUCGUUCGUUCCGGCCGUGUGGAUUGGACGUUUCAAAACAAGAAAUCGCAAGCCUAGCUACAGAGAGAAAGGCCACUAGUUAUAUAGAGAGAAAGGAAGGAGCUGCGCCGUCUUGAGACCUUUGAGAGUGUCCACCAGCCAGCGGCGGAGGAAGACGAGGAGCACCAAGGGAGGAGGAUACCAGGCCGGCGAAGCUCACAGCCAGCUCUCGUCCAUGCUUUGGUGGUGUCUCGUCUGCACCCUGCUGCGUGCAUGUGCGUAUGAUCUUUUGGGCUAAAGCGAGGAGGUAGCAGGCAGCCGCGGGCACGGCGCAUCGCAUGGAGGAGAGGGUGAAAAGAGGAAGAGCAGAAGAAGGUGAGGGCGAAGAAGCGAGGCUAACGGAAAGGAGCCUUGGGGCGGGCCCACCGGCCCUGAGGUGAGGGGGAGGGCGGGGUGGGAGGAGGAGGAGGAGGCGGAGGAUCUCCUCUCACGUCAAAGGUGGGGGAAAGCAUAAAGGGACGAGGAAGGAGGAAGAGAAGGUGGCGGAGAGGAGAAAGCGAGCUGCAGGGAAGAAAGGCACCAAGCUUCACUGAGUGAGCAAGGGAUAGAGUGUGAGUGAGUGUGGGAGUGAGCGACUGUGUGAUCCCUCUCCCCCUAUAUAGAGCUUGAGCUUGUGGGCAUCCUGUUCUUCCACCACCAUUUGGUUCCCCACCCACUACAGUCGGUCAGCGUGCCGGUGAAGUUGAAGAGGAGGAGGCGCCAUGGCAUUGCAGGAGCAGGAAGAAGACGAGGAAGACGAAGAUGAAGGAGAAGACGGCGAGGAAGAUGGGAUCAUGACGAGGGUGCUGUGGUGGGGGAGGAGCUGCUGCUGAUUUCCUCCCCUGUCUUACCAGAGGCGCGCUGCCUGCUCCGGAGUAGUAGUAAGAUAUUGGCACAAUAGGCUCAAUCACUUUUUCUUUCCCUUGUUUUGCUGUUUUUGCGCUCCUUUCCCCGUUCAGUCCAUUGAUGAUUGCAUACUCUUCCCCGUGUAAUUUCUUCCCUUUUGAUCUGUUGUUCUUGUUGGUUUCCCCGAUUCGGAAUGGAAAAAAAGCUUUGGCAAACGCAAAA